rnacentral:lncRNA from 1 species
AUGAUUCAUAGUAUGGUCUGUUUCCUCCUAAAUCCGCAGCUAUACAUUUAUAAAAAUGUUAUGCUUAUUGAAACCGGUGCAACUCUUAUUCCGGAGUUAUGAUUAGGCUAUUGAAGCCUAAAUAGCUUCCAUGAUGCGACUCUUAUUCUGGGGUUAUGAUUAGGCUAGUGAAGCCUAAAUAGCUUCCAUGAUGCGACUCUUAUUCUGGGGUUAUGAUUAGGCUAGUGAAGCCUAAAUAGCUUCCAUGAUGCGACUCUUAUUCUGGGGUUAUGAUUAGGCUAGUGAAGCCUAAAUAGCUUCCAUGAUGCGACUCUUAUUCUGGGGUUAUGAUUAGGCUAGUGAAGCCUAAAUAGCUUCCAUGAUGCGACUCUUAUUCCGGAGUUAUGAUUAGGCUAUGAAGCCUUGUAUAGCUUCCAUGAUGCAACUCUUUUUCCAGAGUUAUGAUUAUUGUACCCUGUUGUAAUUAUUGUUGA